AUUCAAUGUCUAGAGCAAGCUUUCUGCACUCCACUGCCGGUGCUUUCUGGUUUCAAAAGCAGCUUCGAGACUGAGGAAUCGUAGGCAGGAUUAGACUAAGGCCCGGGAGUUCUACAACCCUGUUGAAUUUAAAAGGACCAUGAUCUUGGUCAGCUAAACCACACCCGAUGGCCAAGGGGCCCAGGAAAAGAUGGCAGGGUAGAAACUCUUGGACUUACUCAUUUGGAUUUUGGAGUUUUACCUGACUUGGUCAAGCCUCAUGCCAGAUCCAGGCUGAGGAGGAAGAGGAAGAGGAGGGGUUGGUCUUGCUGUAUCAGGAGUGGCAGAAGCAGAAGAAAAUCCAAGUUGGUCAAAGGAGGAGGAGGAUCAAUGGCCUUUUUUCCUCCGCCCAACCUUUUUUUUUUUUUUUUUUUUUAAACAAAGAAGCAAAGUGAGAACAUUAAGCCCGAAAGAGAACUGUGUUCAUUGCAGGACUUUUUGAGGUCUGGUUAAGCCAUUUAUAUAAAGAAAUUACACAGUUCCUCUUUGGUAACCUCAAUCCUGAGAGUUAGUGUGACAGGCCUACAGCUUUUUGUUCU
rnacentral:lncRNA from 1 species